rnacentral:rRNA from 1 species
GACGAACGCUGGCGGCGUGCCUAAUACAUGCAAGUCGAGCGGAUUGCACCUUCGGGUGCAGUUAGCGGCGGACGGGUGAGUAACACGUAGGCAACCUGCCUAUAGGGACGGGAUAACUACCGGAAACGGUAGCUAAGACCGUAUAGCUGCUUAAGGCGCAUGCCUUGGGCAAGAAACGCGGAGCAAUCUGUGGCCUAUAG